AUGCAUGUGGCCACCCCAGGGCGCAUUGUUUUGGUCAAGGCGGUCCUCAAGGCCAUCGCUAUAUAUCAUCUCACACCCCUUGAUCUCCCUGUUGAAGUUAUAAGAAAGAUUGAUAGUCUGAGACGAGCCAACCUUUGGGCGGAUUGUGAAAAGGUGUCAGGAGGCAAGUGUAAGGUUAACUGGAACCUUGUCUGCAAGCCCAAGAUCUAUGGAGGACUGGGUGUGCUGGAUCUAGAGAAAUUCGCGACCGCUCUACGACUCCGUUAGUUGUGGUUUGAGUGGGCCGACCCGCAAAAAACUUGGGCUGGAAUGGAAACACCUUGCUCUGACGGUGACAAGGAUCUUUUUGCUGCGGCCACUAGGGUGUCCAUUGGUGAUGGUUCGAAGGCCAAAUUCUGGGAAUCCUCUUGG
rnacentral:rRNA from 1 species